GUGCUCGCUUCGGCAGCACAUAUACUAAAAUUGGAACGAUACAGAGAAGAUUAGCAUGGCCCCUGCACAAGGAUGACACACAAAUUUGUGAAGUGUUCCAUAUUUUU
rnacentral:snRNA from 1 species